GGAAGGGCCUCAAGUUUCUCACAGUCUUCAACCUGAAGUCGUUUCAAAUAGGAGGGAGGCAACCCUCUGCAAGGGAAGGAAACAAGUCUUGGACAGCCAACUAUGCUAACCUUACAGAGAUUGAUGAGCAUGUGAAGGUCGUCUGGUAAAGAUUUAAGAUUAUAACAAUAUUUAAUCUUCAUACGUUUGAGAGAUGUGUUGCCAAAUCUCUCAGCAAUUGACUCCAACCAUAAGCAAUGCUGAAUGUGAAGCUCUUUAAGCCGAGGUGGUAAAUUCCUUCCAGAACAUAAUGACUUAAGACAGUAGCAAUGGCAAAUUUGCAAAUACUCAAGAUUGGAUGUGUUAUCAGAGGAAAAAGAACCUUCUUCCUCAUCCAACAAGCUUUGCAAAUUCUGGCAAUUUCUUAUCUCCAGACAUUUUAGAGUUGGAGGUAGCUGGCCUAUUCCAAAUGACACCAGAGAGUUGCAGAAAGAAAUUUCCAUGUCUUCAAGACAAGCAUUGCUGUAAUCUGGCAAAGAUGUGAGAGCCAUGCACCUUCUAAUCCGAAUGGAUCUCAGCAUUGGAGGAAAACUAGCUUCUGGAAAAGAAACAAGUGUUGGGCACCAGUCAAUUGUUAACAGUCUAAGGGACACGAGGUUAAGAGACCAGUGCAGCAGGCUUUCACAAAAUUCUAAUUUCAUAAUUUCAAGUUGACUACUAGCCUCAGAAGUGAAUUGACGUGGACAAGGAAAAUCUCCCAUAAUGGCCAAAGUUUUGGCCUUUUGUAAUCCUUGCAUGAACUCCUCUGUAAGUGAUGUGAAAUUUGAAAUUCUUUGUAGUACCACAUAAAUUGGAGAGCCAAAGUUAUCCACAUAUGUAAAAUCCACCUCUUUGCAUUCUCUGAUUUCCAGUUCACAGAGCAUUGGAAGGCUCGGAAGCAAAACCACCAACUGGAAACAGUUCCUAAUCACAAGCCUUUUAAUUGAAGAAAGAUGGCUGGGUAACUUCCCUGAUAGACUAGGACAAUCUUUAAUCUCAAGCUCAUGCAAGCAUGGGAAUUCAACCUCACAUGGAUUCCAUUCUUCCAAUUCAUCCAUGUCAAUAAGGUGCAGAGUCUCGAGAGUUAGAAAAUGAUUUAAAUUGUUCCCCCCACAAAAUUCUUGACCAACCUGUUUUACACCAGACAUCCCUUUGACAAAAAGGUUUUUGAGAGAUGAAAGUAGGCCAAGUUGUGGCAAGGAAAUGCAAUUCUUGCAGUCCUCUAACCUUAUGGACACCAGAUUAUGGAAUAAAGGAUCCCCUACCCAGGAGGAAAAUUUGGUGCCACUAUAGCUUUUCACAGUGAGUUCUUUUAGUUUUCUAUGAGGUUGCAGCCCAUCAAGAAUAUCUUUGUCAAGUCUCUCAUUCCGCAUAACAUCGUCUUUCCAUUCUAGUAGCAAAGCAUCUAGGUCCUUUUUAUCUAUCAAGUUGGCCUGCCAAGCAUGUCGAGCAUCAAUCACAUUCUCCAAUCCUGUAAUGUGGAGUUUCCCUCGCAGAAAUUUUAAGUUCGCCAAGGCUGAUAUAUUAAGUCCACCACUUUUGCCCACUGGAAAAUAAGACAGUGUCCGGAGAUUUUUCAAUUCUUUUACUUCCACUGGCAUCCCGUCUACCAAGUUGACAUUUGCAAAAUCAAGAUGGCGCAAGUUAAUCAAAUUUCCUAUUCUUGAAGGCAAUUUCUUUAUAUGUCGACAUCCCUCCAACAACAGUGUUUGUAAGUUGUAUAGUGAAGUUGCAGGCUCAGGUACAAUUCUGAUUUUUGUGUAUGAAAGGUUUAGGUACCUUAAAUGUUUCAAGUCACCAAUUGAAUCUGGUAACUCAUAGAGGUUGUAACACUCAAAUGAUAGCACUCUUAAACACCUUAGCUUUGGCAACAAAUCAGAAGGAACAUUAUUUGUCAAGCAGUUACCUUUGUAAAGUGGCAAAGGCAAGAAGGUUCGUAAACACUUCAUCUUGUGAACAGGUUCAAAUCUUUUGAUACCAUCAAAUUCGUCAGGAAUAUAGGAGAAGUGACGAGCUCUUUCUUUCUUGAAUUGCUCACCAACCAUUGAUUUAUUCUCCAAUUUGAUGCAUGUCUCUCCAACAACCCACUGAGCUAGGUCAUUCACAAGAUCAUGCAUUACAAACAUGGAUUCACCAUCAAUUGAUGCUUGCAAAAGUGAUCUGGACAACAGAUCCUGAAAAUACUUGGCACCUACAUCUUCUGGUUGUCUUUCACCAGCAAGUGGCUGAAUCAAACCUUCUGCCAUCCAUAAAAGGAUCAAUUCCAUCUCCUGAAAUUCAUAAUCCUUCGGAAAAAUUGCACAAUAGGCAAAACACCUCUUUAAAUUUGAGGGGAGAUGAUGGUAACUUAAUCUUAACACAGGAAG
rnacentral:misc_RNA from 1 species